GGUCAACUAAGGCAGCCACUCAGAGGUCAGGACCAUUCCUUCCUAUCAGGCAUUCAAGGCCCUGCUUCCAGUCCCAGGGGCCACAGAAAUCUUCAGGCCCAAAGCAAGCUGCUGUUACCACUGCUUGACAGGGGGAUGACGAUGUUUAUAGUCCCUGCUGGGAUCCACUCCAGGCUGCGAGGUUCUUCCUCUGCCGUUCAGUCCUGAACUUCCAAGCUGAGAGUGGAUGCAGGCUGAACCUGUAGCCUCUGCCUCUGGCCUGGCAGCCCUGGGGAGGCAUAGAGCCAACCCUGCUGUGCCAACCCUGCAGUGCCUGCCAUGUGCCCCCUGCCAGGUUGGGCAUUAGGAGCCAAGCCCGACCUCUCUGCACUUUGUUCCUCUCCCUAUCCAGUCCAUCAGUCCUGGGCCACUGCCUCCAGUUCUUCUUCCUUCAUUAAAUAGUUGGUCAGUUUGGAGUCGCUUGGCACCAUGGAGGGUGGACAGGUAGGACUCGAUGGGGGGUC
rnacentral:lncRNA from 1 species